rnacentral:lncRNA from 1 species
UCUACAUCCUUUGAUUCUUCAAUAGCACAAACCGCAUAGUCGAAUUUUGGUGGCAAUGAUCGAAGAGUUUUCUGCACCACAUGAACAUCUUCCAUUAUCUCACUAUAUCUCCUCAUUUGGCUUACUAUGGACUUCACAUUUGAGCAAAAAUCUGAAAUGGAUCAACAUCCUUCAUUUGCAAAGCUUCAAACUCGCCUCGUAAAGUUUGGAGUCGCACAUUCUUUACUUUGUC